GACGAACGCUGGCGGCGUGCUUAACACAUGCAAGUCGAACGGAAAGGCCCUGCUUUUGUGGGGUGCUCGAGUGGCGAACGGGUGAGUAACACGUGAGUAACCUGCCCUUGACUUUGGGAUAACUUCAGGAAACUGGGGCUAAUACCGGAUAGGAGCUCCUGCUGCAUGGUGGGGGUUGGAAAGUUUCGGCGGUUGGGGAUGGACUCGCGGCUUAUCAGCUUGUUGGUGGGGAAGUGGCUUACCAAGGCUUUGACGGGUAGCCGGCCUGAGAGGGUGACCGGCCACAUUGGGACUGAGAUGCGGCCCAGACUCCUACGGGAGGCAGCAGUGGGGAAUAUUGCACAAUGGGCGGAAGCCUGAUGCAGCAACGCCGCGUGCGGGAUGACGGCCUUCGGGUUGUAAACCGCUUUCGCCUGUGACGAAGCGUGAGUGACGGUAAUGGGUAAAGAAGCACCGGCUAACUACGUG
rnacentral:rRNA from 1 species